GAUAAAAGGUACGCCGGGGAUAACAGGCUGAUGACCCCCAAGAGUCCAUAUCGACGCCGC
rnacentral:rRNA from 1 species